UCCCUGGUGGCUCAGAGGUUAAAGUAUCUGCCUUCAAUGUGGGAGACCCGGGUUCGAUCCCUGGGUCGGGAA
rnacentral:tRNA from 1 species